rnacentral:rRNA from 1 species
UACGUAGGUGGCGAGCGUUGUCCGGAUUUACUGGGCGUAAAGGGCUUGUAGGCGGUCCGUUAAGUCCGAUGUGAAAUCUCCCGGCUCAACUGGGAGAGGUCAUUGGAUACUGGCGGACUAGAGGGGGGUAGAGGAAAGCAGAAUUCCUGGUGUAGCGGUGAAAUGCGUAGAUAUCAGGAGGAACACCAAUGGCGAAGGCAGAUCUCUGGGCCGUAACUGACGCUGAGGAGCGAAAGCAUGGGGAGCGAACAGG